CGAGGUUGUAGUUUAAUAAAAAUAUGAGCAUUGGAAGCUUAAGAUUAGGUGAUAACCUAUACCUUGAC
rnacentral:tRNA from 1 species